rnacentral:rRNA from 1 species
ACGUAGGGCGCAAGCGUUGUCCGGAAUUAUUGGGCGUAAAGAGCUCGUAGGCGGUUUGUCGCGUCUGCUGUGAAAGCCCGGGGCUCAACCCCGGGUCUGCAGUGGGUACGGGCAGACUAGAGUGCAGUAGGGGAGACUGGAUCGUUGCUGGUGGUAA